rnacentral:rRNA from 1 species
AUUGAACGCUGGCGGCAGGCCUAACACAUGCAAGUCGAGCUAGCGGCGGACGGGUGAGUAAUGUCUGGGAAACUGCCUGAUGGAGGGGGAUAACUACUGGAAACGGUAGCUAAUACCGCAUACCAUCAGAUGUGCCCAGAUGGGAUUAGCUAGUAGGUAGGGUAACGGCUCACCUAGGCGACGAUCCCUAGCUGGUCUGCGAGGAUGAUCAGCAACAAUGGAACGGAGACACGGGCCAGACUACUACGGGAGGCAGCAGUGGGGAAGAUUGCACAAUGGGCGCAAGCCUGAUGCAGCCAUGCCGCGUGUGUGAAGAAGGCCUUAGGGUUGUAAAGCACUUUCAGCGGGGAGGCGUUACCCGCAGAAGAAGCAACGGCUAAUUCCGUGCCAGCAGCCGCGGUAAUAC